rnacentral:rRNA from 1 species
UACGUAGGGUGCAAGCGUUGUCCGGAUUUAUUGGGCGUAAGAGCUCGUAGGCGGUCUGUCGCGUCGGAUGUGAAAACCCAGGGCUCAACCCUGGGCCUGCAUUCGAUACGGGCAGACUAGAGUACGGCAGGGGAGACUGGAAUUCCUGGUGUAGCGGUGAAAUGCGCAGAUAUCAGGAGGAACACCGGUGGCGAAGGCGGGUCUCUGGGCCGUAACUGACGCUGAGGAGCGAAAGCGUGGGGAGCGAACAGG